UGGGGAAUAUUGGACAAUGGGCGAAAGCCUGAUCCAGCCAUGCCGCGUGUGUGAAGAAGGUCUUCGGAUUGUAAAGCACUUUAAGUUGGGAGGAAGGGCAGUAAGCGAAUACCUUGCUGUUUUGACGUUACCGACAGAAUAAGCACCGGCUAACUCUGUGCCAGCAGCCGCGGUAAUACAGAGGGUGCAAGCGUUAAUCGGAAUUACUGGGCGUAAAGCGCGCGUAGGUGGUUCGUUAAGUUGAAUGUGAAAGCGCCGGGCUCGACCUGGGAACUGCAUCCAAAACUGGCUAGCUAGAGUAGGGCAGAGGGUGGUGGAAUUUCUUGUGUAGCGGUGAAAUGCGUAGAUAUAGGAAGGAACACCAGUGGCGAAGGCGACCACCUGGACUCAUACUUACACUGAGGUGCGAAAGCGUGGGUAGCAAACAAG
rnacentral:rRNA from 1 species